GACAAACGCUGGCGGCGUGCCUAACACAUGCAAGUCGAGCGAUGAAACUCCUUCGGGAGUGGAUUAGCGGCGGACGGGUGAGUAACACGUGGGUAACCUGCCUCAUAGAGAGGGAUAGCCUUCCGAAAGGAAGAUUAAUACCGCAUAAGAUUGUAGUUCCGCAUGGAACAGCAAUUAAAGGAGUAAUCCGCUAUGAGAUGGACCCGCGUCGCAUUAGCUAGUUGGUGAGGUAACGGCUCACCAAGGCGACGAUGCGUAGCCGACCUGAGAGGGUGAUCGGCCACAUUGGGACUGAGACACGGCCCAGACUCCUACGGGAGGCAGCAGUGGGGAAUAUUGCACAAUGGGGGAAACCCUGAUGCAGCAACGCCGCGUGAGUGAUGACGGUCUUCGGAUUGUAAAACUCUGUCUUUGGGGACGAUAAUGACGGUACCCAAGGAGGAAGCCACGGCUAACUACGUGCCAGCCGCCGCGGUAAGAC
rnacentral:rRNA from 1 species